rnacentral:lncRNA from 13 species
UGCCUCGGCAAUGGCAGGCUGUGAUAGCAAUGGGAGUAUACUCCCAUUGGGGCGGAUUGCCUCGGCAAUGAAGGACGCCCCUCCCCCAUUGAGCUGCGUCAUCCCAGGCUCUGUUGUGUUCACAGUGAAACUCUCAAACCCAGGUUGGGAGAUGGAGAAGGAAGGGAGACAGAAACUACAGCCUGAUCUUGAAAAGUUUCUUCCAAGCUAAGUGCAAAAUCGGAAAGAGAAAUGCUUAGAAAUGUUUGCCACAAGAGAUGUUAAAUUGCAGUGAAAUCAUCAAAAAGAAGACACUUGAAAAGAGAAGUAAAUAUGAAAUAAGAGACACUGAUUAUAAAAUUGCCCAAAAAGCUAUUCAGCUGGAAAUUGUUCUUAUAAGUUAAUUAUUAUGCAUGAAAUUGUUAUGAAAUCUGAAACAAUUUGAGUCCAGCACUGAAAAGUAAUAAAAUUAAAAUGUAUUCCUCA